AAACUAGAGUGGCUACCAUUACUACUGGUAAUGAUUUCUUUUAAAAUAUGUAAGUAAGGGCCAGGGAUUUAGCUCAGUGGUUCUGGCGCCUGCCUUGCAAGCGCAAGGUCCUGAGUUCGAUUCCCAGUACCAAAAAAACCAAAACAACAACAACAACAACAAAAAAAACAAAAAAUAAAAUAUGUAAGUAAGACCAGCUAGAUAAAAUAAUUGGUCUUGCUGUGUUUGCCCUCAUUCACAGUGUCCCCAUAGCCAUCUUGCCCUAAUGGGGACAAUUUCCAGGUAUAACCAAGGGUUUGUGUAUAAAAUGUACCCUGGCUGAUGUUAAACACUGGCUCCUUGUAUUUUCACUAAAACAGCAAGCAUACCCAUUUUCUUGUGUACACUUCUCCUGUGGCCUUCCAUGGCAGAAGCCAGGGAAAAAAGGUCUUAGCAUGUAGUUUUCUCUGCAGCAAGUCUUCUCCAGAUCUAAAGUUAUUCAUCAAUUGAGUUCUAAGAGACUGCCUACUAGGCUUUUCCCACUCCUCAGGUAUUUCUUUCACCUUCCUGCUUCUUCUCCCCAGUCAGAAGUAACUAAAGAAUCUUAAAGGAAAUGUCAAGUUAUCUCUCAGAUUCUUCUUAAAAUCACCCCAUCUGAAUUUUAGACCAGCAAUUCAGUGCUUGCCUUCGACAGUAUUGUGUCUUCAUCCCUAAUGUCUAUAAUAUACCGUGUAGAAAUGUCCCUAGUCCCUUUCAGAUUUGAUUCUAAAUGGAAUUUCUUUAAACACACACACACACACACACACACACACACACACACACACACACACACACUUCCCUGAGAUGGGAGAAUAAGCCUGCCCAUAUCCUCCAAAUGAGCUCCAGCACAGUGAUGGGAAUGUUUCAAAGAAUCAUCCUACCUAAGAAACAUCUUUGUCAAGGGACUUCCCUAGACAAAAUCAGUGGGACAGUGUGGUGUGGGUGACCUGUUCCCUAUCUUUUUUCCAAAAGGAAGAAGAAAGGAAGCAAAAGUGACUGAAAUCUGUUUUGGUCACAUGGGGCCAUUUGGAUCCAUGACUAGGUCUCACUCAUGUUUUGCCCUCACUGCAUUACAAGAUUUGGAUUUUAGGCUUAGACUAAUUUCCUAAGUAAAUCAUCUGUGGUUUGCAGCUCAUCUGGGGCAAAGAAGGGGCUGGGAUCCUAUGCUUUGGAACAUGGAACUCAAAGAGGGCAAAGACUAAUGGUAUGUUAGGAGUGAUCUGGACCCUCUUUUGUAGCAAUGGAACCUUGGAAAUGGAGACUUUCCUGAGUCUCCAAUAUGGAAUUUAGAAGUUUUCACAUCCUCACCUGCCCUUUGAGGGCAGCCCCAUCUACUGUUGUGUAGCCCCAAUCCAUUGUUCUGUGAAUCCAUGCAGAUUUCCCUCUUCCUUGUAGGCAUGACUACUUGGAGCAAGAACAGUUCAUUGAUUCUUCAUGUCUACCUUUUGGUUGGAAAGGCACUGGGUUCUCUAGCUUUUGGUGGCCCAUACCAAGUAGACUGCUCUUUUACAGCCCUUAAAGGCUGCAGUUAUGUACUAAGACAAUAUAAGACAUUUCUUAAAAAUGAAUUUACAAUUUUAUUCUUCCUCUGUCUUGCAGAAAAUACUAUUAGAGUAUGUAAAAGCCUAGAGAUUCUUGUUACACCAUAGCCAAGGCACAAAUGUGGGGAGGAAAAUGAAUUUUUAAACCAACAGAGCACUGACUCCAGUGAAAAUCCUACUAUGGGCUGAGGCUGUCAGCAGCUCCUAGCCCCUUCCAUUUUUUUCUCAUCAGAAACUAGCAAACUCUUUCUCCAUAAGCCUGUCUUUCAGUAUGCCUGAGUAAAGAAUAUAACCCCUCCUGUUCCUUCAGGAGAAGGUGCCUUUCCACUCUAUCUCUCCUACCCUGGUUCCCAGAGCUCGCUUUCAUCCCCAGGGUCUAAUGUGAUCUUUACACCAGCCUCUUGGUGAUGCUUCUUGCUUGUUUUCUUUGUUAAAAAUCUAUGCACAUCUCAUACUUUGGCCAAGCUAAGUGUGGCAUUUAGCUCACAUUUGACAAGACUAAUUUUGUAUCCUUUAGUUUAUUGACUUCAACUUCUUCUGGGAUUAAAGGCAAUUGUUUCUUACCUUGAAUGCCUGGGGCUAGGUAUAGGGAGUAUAGAACUCCUUUUGGGAUUAAAACAUCUUCCUGUCCCCAAUUAGAAGGGCAGGUUAGUUGGGAGAGUUCAGAUGGCACAACAGAAGUCAAAACAAACACCUUGUAAACUAAGGCAGACUUGAAGGCAUAGAAAUGUAUUGUUUCUGGAAAAUAAUCCAAGGGAAUAAACGGCUUUUUGCCACUCUGCCUCCUAAGCAUCUCUUUUCUUUUCUUUCUCUAUCUAGUUCCUUAUAAUUGUUCUCUGUCUAUACUCUAUGUUAUCACUCUCUUUCCACAGUGCAGACAUCCACUCUUCAUUCUAUGCAAUUAUUAUCUCUUAAUUUUUCCUCUUUCUCCUAGCCUUGGCACUGAGGGUAUGCAUCUUCUUAGCCUGUGAUUUUGUCUUGGGAUUGAAGAGAAUUUAUUUUCAGAUUCAACCCACCCUGUUCCUAUCCCAUCCCAGUCAGAUAUAUAUUGCUGGGGAUCAACCCAAUCCUGGCCCUUUCUUCUUUGCCAUUUUCAAUCUCAGCCUAUCUUCUCAACCAUUUCCUUUAAGCUCAUGUAUCUUUGGGUUUUGUCCUUCCAAGCACUGUACAGAAUAUUCUGUGGUUCCUUUUUAGUCUGCCAUUUUGUGGAGCAAUGAAGGUGCUCACAGAUUGUUAGCUGAACAGAAAAAUCCAUCCACGAAUUCAUAUCAGCUAGAUGCUAUUAGUUGAUUUAUUUACUUUAGUCAUAGUUUAAAAAGCUGCACUAUAAUAUAAGGAGAGACUACAGGUAAUUGCUCCUGUCAUUUGGUUUGGCUGGGUUGCGAGUGGGGAAAAUGGAAAAAUCUGUUUAAACUUUUACCGCAACUUAUUAAAUAAGCUCCCUGUAAUAACCUUAUAUUUUGAGUUUACCAGCUGUUGAGUUUUUAAGAUAAAUUGGUCAGCAAUUGGAGUUUAUUUAAAUGAAAAUGGUAUUUAACCAAUCCAUACUAUACAAAGAAAUUCACUUAAUUGCAAUGUAUUUUUCCUUCAGUUAGGAUACUUACCUAAACAUUUUACUUUGACAACAACUGUUCAUGAUCCUGCACAAGCAGUUUACAUAUGAGCAAUUAGUUGGUCUAAAGAAACAGCUUCUAGGUGCUAAUUUUACAACAGACUCUAUAGCCUGGGAAUGUCAUUGCUUGGCAAUACCAUAUGGAAUGCCAAAGUCUCUAACGACUUUUCAUUUUAAGCUCUUUUAAAGGGGUUUGAGCAAGUAAGAGAUUAUGCCAGAAUGUCUCCAAUGGAUGGUCCUGUAAUAUAUUGCAGCUUGAAGCCAAUGAUCUCUUAUGACUUGUACACAACUAAUGCAUGUUUUGAUUGAAUUUUGCAUUCUUCACAUGCAGUAAGUUCUUUAAAACAUUUUUGGUCACAUUUUUGUGCCAUUAAUCUUGUACAGAAAGUGCUUUUCUGGCCAUUUUCAAAGAGGGAACGUUUAAAAUGGAAACAGCCCACCCUUUCUGCCCUAUAGCUGUAGUUAGACUUAAGUAACUGUAGCAAAACAGCUGUAAUUGGUGGUUGUAGUGUUAGAAGUGUUAGCUUGCUAGUGACUAGCUUUGGAGAGUAAAUGCAUGGUAUUAUACAAUCACAUUUCUUAAAUAACUCAUUUUAACCUCUGAAAAGAAUAUAUUCUUCCUUGUAGCCCCUCUUCCCUUUGCCCCUCUCUGCUCCCAGGUAUCUUACAAUUGUAAAUAACUGACUAACGGGCCAAUAAUUCUCACCAAGAAAAGUCAGCAAAGAACAAAUAAACCAAAAAGGGAGAGAAAGGCUUUUCUCAGCAGUCUCUCAGCAGUUAUUGACCAUUUCUCAAGGAAUGACAUGAUGAUCAAAAAUUCAGCUCCCCUCUGCAUCAAAAAAUCACUGCCAAAUUGGGAGUGUCUUUGGUCCUUGGAUUACAUUACAGAAUUGAAUAAUUCUCAGAAUUGCACAUAAUUCAAAGACAAUAGACAAUGAUGUCCCAGUAGUUUUGAGGAAUUUGGAGACAUCAAAAGGCUCAGCUUGAUCAAUGACCAAUACUUAUGUGAAACAAGAAAAGGAAAAGAAAAAAAUGCAACAAAUACUUAGGGGUUUUAGCCACCCCUUUAGAAUAAUAAUUAUAGCCAGAAACAGCAAGGACAUGAUGGGUUUAUAUGCAUUGCUGUCUAUUUCCCAGGUAAUGCCUAGCCCACUCUUAGACUGUGAUUCAAAGGCAAUAUUUCAAGGAGACAUUCUCCUUUUUGGUUUACUGUUCCCCAUUGGACUGGUGGGUUUGGUGAGGCCCAAGUAAACUGAAUGGAAAAAACCCUUUUAUUUCCUGUGCCUGGUAACAUCCCUCUUCCCUUUCCCCCUCCAUAAUUUGAUGAGGGCUCUUUGGUCAGAGGACUUCCAGGUUGUCUAGAGAAGUUACCCAUUUGUGUAAGGUGUUGUGAACUGUGAAUCCUGCAGAUAUGCGGUGUUCAACACUGGGCAGCCAAAGAGCUGCUCUUGCAAUCAUUUUGGCUCUCAACCCCCGUUCUCCAUAGCAUUCUCAUUUCUGUGUACAUUUGCAAGAUGUAUGUAAUGUGAUUUUCAA
ensembl:lncRNA